GCCCACGUAGCUCAGGGGAUAGAGCACUGGCCUCCGGAGCCAGGUGCCGCAGGUUCGAAUCCUGCCGUGGGCAC
rnacentral:tRNA from 1 species